rnacentral:tRNA from 1 species
CAGGGAGACAACAAAAUGUUUAAUAUUAUUAUUUUGUCACCUUAGGUCGAUCGGUAUCUCACGUUCUUAAUUUAUUAAGAAUUUCAUUUCCUAAGUUUUCUAGGUCACACCCAUUAUUUUUCCUGGGCCAUUAGCUCAGGUGGUUAGAGCGCACCCCUGAUAAGGGUGAGGUCCCUGGUUCAAGUCCAGGAUGGCCCAUAUCUCUAUGUUGGGGGUAUAGCUCAGUUGGUAGAGCGCCUGCUUUGCAAGCAGGAUGUCAGCGGUUCGAGUCCGCUUACCUCCACUGAUUACCACCUCUUACGUAAUCUGUAGAAGGGAAAUGUUUUGAGCUGUGAUCAAAUCUGAACGAAUCUAGCUUCCUAAUUAAAUCAUUAAGAUGCUGGACUCAUUGAAUUAAUUUCAUUGUUUUCAGAGAACCUUGACAACUGCAUAGAUUAUUUUUAAAGACAAUAAGCAUCUUUAUGAUGCAGAUUUUUAUUUGUGCGAAUGCAUUAAUAACAAUUCUAUUAAGCUGAUGCUUCAA